rnacentral:rRNA from 1 species
CAGCAGCCGCGGGAAUACGUAGGGUGCAAGCGUUAAUCGGAAUUACUGGGCGUAAAGCGUGCGCAGGCGGUUAUAUAAGACAGAUGUGAAAUCCCCGGGCUCAACCUGGGAACUGCAUUUGUGACUGUAUAGCUAGAGUACGGCAGAGGGGGAUGGAAUUCCGCGUGUAGCAGUGAAAUGCGUAGAUAUGCGGAGGAACACCGAUGGCGAAGGCAAUCCCCUGGGCCUGUACUGACGCUCAUGCACGAAAGCGUGGGGAGCAAACAGGAUUAGAGACCCCUGUAGUCCCUGUCUCUUAUAC